GAUGAACGCUGGCGGCGUGCCUAAUACAUGCAAGUCGAGCGAACAGAUGAGGAGCUUGCUCCUCUGACGUUAGCGGCGGGCGGGUGAGUAACACGUGGAUAACCUACCUAUAAGACUGGGAUAACUUCGGGAAACCGGAGCUAAUACCGGAUAAUAUAUUGAACCGCAUGGUUCAAUAGUGAAAGACGGUUUUGCUGUCACUUAUAGAUGGAUCCGCGCCGCAUUAGCUAGUUGGUAAGGUAACGGCUUACCAAGGCAACGAUGCGUAGCCAACCUGAGAGGGUGAUCGGCCACACUGGAACUGAGACACGGUCCAGACUCCUACGGGAGGCAGCAGUAGGGAAUCUUCCGCAAUGGGCGAAAGCCUGACGGAGCAACGCCGCGUGAGUGAUGAAGGUCUUCGGAUCGUAAAACUCUGUUAUUAGGGAAGAACAAAUGUGUAAGUAACUAUGCACGUCUUGACGGUACCUAAUCAGAAAGCCACGGCUAACUACGUG
rnacentral:rRNA from 1 species